GUGCGCAGAAGUAGUUGUUGGAAAUUGGCCGUUGGGAUGCAGUCUGAGCUUGGAUACCUGAGUAAUAACGGACAACAGAUAAAGCUCCGCAUCCUUGCGCCACGUGCUUCGGUCCGUGGUUUGCGUGGAGACGUUUGACCUGUAUGGUGACCCUCGCGAUUUGCAAAUGUGCUGAGGAUCUGGAAUACUGAAGUGGAAGGCACCUCUUGUUUUGGGGAGCAUGUAUAUUUCCCUCUUGUGACGCACUGCUUCCACAGAGAGGUGCAAACGUGCAAACGCUCAGCGACCGCAGCGCUUCUGCCCUUCCCCCACUGUAACUCCGGGGUCGCGUAUCUGCCCGCCCCGCUCUCCCGAAGCUCUUCGGGCAGUGUCCGAACGGCUUCGGAGGGGCGAGAAGCCGGCAUCCCGCCUCUCCGGAAUACUCGCAGCCUGACGCACGCGUGCGGUCGGGGGAGGGACGCUGGGACAGCUGCUCCUGCACACGGCUCGCGGUCUCGGCGCCGCGGAGAUGCCCGGCCAGGGUCCGGGGUCCGACUGGACGGAGCGUAGCUCUUCUGCAGAGCCGCCCGCAGUGGCCGGGACCGAGGGUGGCGGCGGCGGAUCAGCUGGAUACUCUUGUUACCAGAAUUCCAAAGGUUCUGACAGAAUCAAAGAUGGAUACAAAGUGAACUCACACAUAGCUAAGCUGCAAGAGUUAUGGAAAACUCCCCAAAAUCAAACAAUCCACCUCCCUAAAUCAAUGAUGGAUGCGUCCUUUUUCAAGCAUCCAGACCUCACCACAGGCCAGAAGCAUUACCUGUGCAGCAUUGCUAAAAUCUAUAAUGCAAACUAUCUGAAGAUGUUAAUGAAGAGGCAGUACAUGCACGUACUUCAGCACAGCUUACAAAAGCCAGGUGUCCUCACUCAUCACAGAAGCCGCCUUAGUUCUCGUUACUCACAGAAACAGCAUUACCCUUGCACUACAUGGCGACACCAACUGGAGAGAGAGGACUCGGGGCCUUCUGAUAUCACAGCUGCACCUGCACCUGAAAUGCUCAUACAGCAUUCCCUUUGGCGGCCAGUGAGAAACAAAGAAGGGUCUGUUUCUUAGUGUAAAAAGGGGGAAAUGCAUCUCAGUUUAAUUUUUUUUUUUUCUCAGACAGGGUCUUGUUCUCUCACCCAGGCUGGAGUGUAGUGGUGUGAUAUAGUUUACAGUAUUCUAACUCCUGGGCUUAAGCAAUGCUUCUGCCUCAGACUCCCAAGUAGCUAGGGCUAAAGGCACAAACCACCAUGCCCUGCUAAUUAAAAAAAAUUUUUUGUGGAGAAAGCAUCUCACUAUGUUGGCCAAGGUACUCUCACCUCCGCCUCCCAAAGCACUGGGAUUACAGGCGUGAGCUACUGUGCCCAGCCUUCCCCAUCUCUUUUGAAGGGUAGCUAAGUGAUAUUAAUGCUUGUGUUCCCUAAUAUGUUCACUUUGCUAAAUUCAGAAUAGGCUGGACUUUUAAAAAGCAGAGAGAGAUACUUUUUUUUUUUUUUGAGACCAAGUUUCGCUCUUGUUGCCCAGGCUAAAGUGCAGCGGCGCAAUCUUGGCUCACCGCAACCUCCACUUCCCGGGUUCAAGCGAUUCUCCUGCCUCAGCCUUCCUGAGUAGCUGAGAUUACGGGCAUGCGCCACCAUGCCCAGCUGAUUUUGUAUUUUUA
rnacentral:sRNA from 1 species